GUUAUUAUUAACUAAAGUCCAUAGUUUAUCCAGCUUGCCUUAGUUUUUACCUAAUGUCCUUUUUCUGUUCCAGGUAUCCCAUCUGGGAUACUACAUUACAUUUAGUUGUCAUGUCUCCUUAGGAUCUUCUUGGCUUUGAGUUUCUCAGAUGUUCCUUAAAUGUUUUUGAUGACCUUGACAGUUUUGAGGAGCACUGGUCAGGUAUUUUGUAAGAUUUCCCUUUAUUGGAAUUUGCCUGAUGUUUUUCUCGUUUUUAGACUGGGGUUAUGGGUUUUGGGGAGGAAGAUCCCAGAGGUAAAGUGUCGUUUUCAUCACAUCCUAUCAAGGGUACAUGGUGUUAACAUAAUUUAUGACUGUUGAUGUUGAGCUUGGUGACCUGGCUGAGGUAGUGCUUGUCAGAUUUCUCCACUAUAAAGUUAGUCUUACUCCACACCCCUUUCCCUAGUGUGGUAUUUGGAAGAAGUCACUAUGUGCAGCCCAGACUUAAAGAGUGAGGAGUUAUGCUCCCCGUCCUUGAGAGUGGCGUACAUAAAUUAUUUGGAGUCCUUCUGUGUAAGAGAUUUGUCUCUUCUCCCACUUACUAAUUUAUCUAAUCAUUUAUAUCACUAUAGCUUCAUGGAUAUUUAUUUUAUUCUUUGGGUUAUAAUUCAAUACUACUUUACUUUGUUGCUCAAUUGUUCGCACUUUGGCCACUGAGAGAUCUUUCACUUGGCUCCUGUGCCCCUUUGACAUACCUCCGUCAAAGUGGGUGUUUUUGUUUUUGAGGACUUCCUUACUACUUUCUGGCACUACAGGUUGCUCCCAGCUCAUCUUGUGUAUUUUCUGCCUCAGUCCAGAAUCAGCCACUUCUCCAAGGAACCCUUUUUCCUUUUAUUGGAGAAUGGUGUUAGAAACCAAGAUCUGGGUGUUAGCUGUGCUUGUUGCUACUGGGAUGUGGUUUCUUUUAGGCACCCUCAGCAGACAAAGCAAAGAAAGGAAUGUGUCCAUAUUAAUAGACAUGUCCAUAAUUAUUUUUCUGUGUAACCGUCUGUGUCUAUAUUAAGCUAAGUAUGAGUUUUUAGUCUUCAGCUCUAACCCGUUAACCACGUGGAUCAUUCUGGCGUUCUCCCCCUACUGAAAGUAAAUUUCCUCCAACAGUGAGAAACCUGCCUCCCACCAUAUGUGAUCCAUUUACUUAAUUGUUCAAUUCCAGUAUGUAUACAUGACAUCUAGCAGUAUCAGAAUUGCUAACCCAUACCCAAAUGGAAACUGUAUCAACUAAGAGGUUGGUUUUGUUGAUUCCUUGGAAAUUUCAACAUACAUAAUCAUGUCGUCUGCAAACAAAAAGUUGUGUUUCUUCUUUCAAAUUUUUAUUUUCUUUUGUCGUCUUACUGCAAUAGCUAGAGCUUCCAGUAUGGUAUCGCAUAGGAGUGGUGAGAGCAGACGUCCUUGCCUUGUUCCUGAGCUUAGAGGAAAAGUAUCCGGUUUCUCACCAUUAGGUGUCAUUAUUCUCUUUGAUGCUCAGAUUGUCUCAUAUUUGGCCAUUGGGGCUUUCUCAAGGUGACUGCUCUAUCAUUUUGAUCUGACCUGGUUGGUUGUUGAGUACUUCCUUGUUUUGUGGCAGAACAAGAUGUCUGUGUUUCAAAUUUUACUUACCCUGCUUCAUCCUGGAAUGUUCCAUUUCUUUAGGAAGUUGAUUUCAGUCUUAAUUUUACAUGAUAGUUCAUUUCUUUCAUUCAAAGUUUGAAGAGGUUUGCCACACAGGAUCAGCCUUUUUGCUUUUCUUUGGUAGUCUACAGAGCAACUGAGGCCUCCUGUCCGUGCUAGAAUUUAAUGUAUCCUUCCUUAUAAAAACAGAACAUUUUCUUGUUCAGUUUACGUGGGCAUAAAGACAUGUGAAAUUACACAUAGCCGCACUUCUGUGAAGUCCCUGAAAGUGAUUUGUACUUGGGCAGUUUGGACUUCUGCUGUGUUAAGAGAGAAUCGAACCCCAC
ensembl:lncRNA